GUCAAGCCGGAGGAAGAGCGUCAGGUCGGGGUCGCCCUCUACGCGGCGGAGAGACAAGGGUCCAUGCGGCGGCAGAGGAGAGCAAGCGGGGUAGCGCGCGGCGGCGGUCCGGACUGGCAGACGUACUGUGCAGGUCAGGGAAGAAAAAGUGCACGUCUCGGCUGCGGCUUCUCCAAGAGCUAAUCAGAGUCAGCUGUGAGCCAACCUGGAGUCCAAUCAAUGAAGCAAGUUUGGAGCCAAACCUGCUUCGUUUCUGCCUCAGGUCCGGAGGAAGACCACUCCCCAAGGAUCAGCUGAUCUGUGUUCGUGAGUCGACACUGCAAUCCUUACUGUUAUGUACAACAUCAGUGCCUAAUUAUUUUGGGGAAAUUACUAGCUUCACACGAAACCCCAACUUUGCUUUCUCUCGCUCUGAUUCUAUGCAGUAAACACUCACGUUUCCAACUUUAGUCUAACACACGAUGUUCUAUUCCCCUUUUCGUACGCCGAUUUUCCUCCUUUUUAACGUUAUUAGUGUUGUUUUCUUUGUUUUGUUAGACCACUUUUGUGUGUUACCUUUUAGAUUCCUUUAGAUGUCAUUAAAUAUACCAUAAAAUUCCACUCUUGGUUGUAUUUUGUGUGUGUGUUCUGAGUUUAAGUGAACCUCUGUCAUCUAGAAUUCAAAAUUUCAUAAAGUGUAGCAACCUUCAGAUUACGAGACUGAUAAAAGGUUUCUCGUCAUUAUCCCUAAAUUUUAUACUUAUAAGAAGUGACGUGGUUUGAUUUUAACAAUUCAAUUUAAAAUUACGGUGAACCGGAAGUAACGCAAGCAUCGCUUCCGGCUUAUUCUUUUCUGCUAAAUUAAUUAACUUUUUAUUUGAUCAAUAUACGCUACAUCCCCUUCAUUUUAGCACGUGGGAACAACAUGGAAUUGACCACCUACAACAACUAUUUAACGAUAAUGUUUUAGGACACGUGAUGAAUCAAUUCCACGAAUUCCAAAUA